GCCAUCGUGGUGUAACGGUUAGCACACUCGGCGCGUAUUCGAGAGAUCUAGGUUCGAGUCCCGGCGAGGGCA
rnacentral:tRNA from 1 species